AGCCUGAUGCAGCGACGCCGCGUGAGGGAUGACGGCCUUCGGGUUGUAAACCUCUUUCAGAAGGGAAGAAGCGAAAGUGACGGUACCUGCAGAAGAAGCGCCGGCUAACUACGUGCCAGCAGCCGCGGUAAUACGUAGGGCGCAAGCGUUAUCCGGAAUUAUUGGGCGUAAAGAGCUCGUAGGCGGUUUGUCGCGUCUGCUGUGAAAGACCGGGGCUCAACUCCGGUUCUGCAGUGGGUACGGGCAGACUAGAGUGAUGUAGGGGAGACUGGAAUUCCUGGUGUAGCGGUGAAAUGCGCAGAUAUCAGGAGGAACACCGAUGGCGAAGGCAGGUCUCUGGGCAUUAACUGACGCUGAGGAGCGAAAGCAUGGGGAGCGAACAGGAUUAGAUACCCUGGUAGUCCAUGCCGUAAACGUUGGGCACUAGGUGUGGGGGACAUUCCACGUUUUCCGCGCCGUAGCUAACGCAUUAAGUGCCCCGCCUGGGGAGUACGGCCGCAAGGCUAAAACUCAAAUGAAUUGACGGGG
rnacentral:rRNA from 1 species